UACAGAGGUCUCAAGCGUUGUUCGGAUUCAUUGGGCGUAAAGGGUGCGUAGGCGGCGCGGUAAGUCGGGUGUGAAAUCUCGGAGCUUAACUCCGAAACUGCAUUCGAUACUGCCGUGCUUGAGGACUGGAGAGGAGACUGGAAUUUACGGUGUAGCGGUGAAAUGCGUAGAUAUCGUAAGGAAGACCAGUGGCGAAGGCGGGUCUCGUGGACAGUUCCUGACGCUGAGGCACGAAGGUCAGGGGGAGCAAACGGG
rnacentral:rRNA from 1 species